rnacentral:lncRNA from 1 species
ACUGGGAUGGUGGUUGAUGAGGUGGGUUGCAAACUCCACGGCCGGUAUAAGGUUACCCAUGGACGGUGUUGCGAUGAUCGCUACCUCUGCUCGCCUCAUUUCUUGAACUUGGGGUUUUUCUCCGGCGACUAUGGGAAACUUCAUCAAUUGUAAUACAUACUCUGGAAUUUAGAUCGAUGGUAUUUAUUAUCUUAUAUUGGUACAUGCAAAUAUCAAAAUAUGUGUGGACUGAAUCACUUACGUGUUACGUGCUUUUGUUGUUUUGCGUUACAAAACUUUUAAUUUGCAUUUAAAAUUUAUGAAGUUUUCAACAUGCAAUAAAGAUUUUAGAAACUAACAAUUGCGUAUUAUAAUUGAUAAUUAAUAAUACACAAGUAUAUAUAAUGCAAAUAUGUUAAUUAAUUUAUUAUUAAAGAUAUUAAAAUUAAUAAUUUUUGUACAUUUAUAAUUAAACCAUUUAAAACAAAAUUUUUUCAACGUAACGCUUUUGAUCAUUAUGUGUAGGAUCAAAAAAAAAAAAAAAAAAAGUAAUAAAACCCAUAUAAAAAACAUGUUUUGACGUUGGUGUUGAAAAUGGCUCUAUACGUAUCGUAAAGCUAUACGGUAUAUGAGGGUACUAGGUUAUAACCGGUGGAAACCAUGAUCGGUAUAUUUAAAAUUUUUAUAUAGAUAAAAAAUAAUAAAUAUAAAAAAACAAAGAUAUCGUCGCUUGUAAGUAAUUAUGAGUUAAUUUGUUAAACAAAAUAAACAUAAUAAUGUUAUUAUGAUAUGAUUUUGUAUUUUCAAAAUUUGAAUUUGAAUUGAAUUUGAUUUGUUACCAUAAAAAAAAAAAUAAUAAAAAUCAUAGAAAAAUGUCACGUGUCAAAAAGACAUUCUAAAAAAUUAACACGUGUUAUUUUUAGGUUUUAUUUAUUAGAAAAGAUAGAUUAAUGAUAAGAUCAAUUCUCUAAAGAAUUCAAAAUUUUGUUCACCAUAGCGUUUCAAUGAUGUGUGUCAAGCAAAAAAGACAUCCAAAAACACAUGUAAAAAGAGGUUCAAAGUCAAUAGAACCCUUUCAAAGUGUUUGCUAAGAAGUUUUCCUUCCCACUUUAUUAAAUAUUAGGUUAUAACCCGUAGACACUACGGGUGAAAAAUAUUAAAAUAAUUCUUAACAAAAUUUUAUGGUAACUAUUGACCAAUAAUAAUAAUAAAAAAAAUAAUUUAUAAAUAUAGUUGUUUUGUCUGUAAGUUCAUAAUGAUAAUUCAUAACAAUAUAAUAAAAAAAAUUAGGGAUGUACCCCCGCGUCGCGGGGGCUAGACGAUAUUAAAUGAGAAAGCCUAGAAAAUAAAUAUAAGAAAUAAUCAUUUAACAAAUUCAACACAUAUAUUUGGAUAACUCUCAUGGCUACAAAUUCACCAUAAUAAUUGACUAAUUUAUUUUGAAUGCAAGGUGGAAAUGCGUCUUUGACUGAAAUAUAAUUGUACGCUUUCGAACAAAAACCAAGAGAGUGACCCCAGAAAUCUACAAACGUUUAGGAAGAUUAAAAAAAACUCCUCUAUAAUUUGGAUGAGUGAAAGAAUCUCAAAACCCUCAUCAACGCUACAAACAGUAAAUAAACAAAAGUAAGAUGCUAUUUCAUGCACCUUUGGCUUGCUACAAGAAGCAAUUCUAAAAUCUAAGAAGUUGUUCAAGUGAUGACAUUAUUUUCAUAUCCUUUGGAAAAACUUGGAUAACUGGUUUCUUGCCAUCAAAAGAGUCGGUCCAAGAUGUGGUAAAAUUUACAUGUAAAAUUCAGAAAGCGCAUAUAGUUUUCCCCUAAUUUUUAUUAGUAAUUCAUUAUUCCUUUUUCAUACAUGAGUGGUGUCUACAAGUGUCUUUUGGCACAUUAAAGGUUCAAUCUGAUGUUACUAUUAAAGAUGAAUAUAGAAGGUUAUUAAAAUAUAUGUAAUUGAUAUUUCAAAGUAACAUGCUCAAAUAAAAAGAAAAAAAUAAAAGUAAGAUGCUAUAAUAAACAUAUAACUGAAAAGUACAUUACUAUUUCUUUCCUUUAAUAAUGCCUUUUCACUUUUUUCCGACUUUUUAUAAAUUAAAGUUUUAGCGUUUACCUAACAAAAUCAAUCGAUUGUCAAUCUGAUUGCAAAAAUUAAAGAAAGCGUAGAUUCUUUUUUGAGCAGCUUGAUUAUUGACCUACUAAAAUUACAAAAAAACAACAUAUGAAAAGAGAUUCAACAACAACCUAGUAUGGUACAUAUGUAGCAUAAUCCCCAACAGAACCAUCCUAACUUUCAACAACAUAGACAAAACCAGUAGUACUCAUCUUAAUAGUGUUAACAAAAUGAAAUUGCAUGCAUUCAUGAUUUUUUUUCUUCAAUUACACACACACACACACACACACACAUAUAUAUAUAUAUAUUCAAUCUCACUAUGUUGUUAUUUUCUUCAUUAGGAUUUGAAUUUUUUUACAUGUGGACAACAAUAAGAUUUUGAAUUGUUAAUUUCCUUUUCCUAAUAUAGAGGAUAAUACAUACAAAAAGAAGGGAUGAUAAUAUGGUAACUACUUUUUUAUAUCUAAGUGGAUUAUUAAUCAUUAAAUUCCUUGUUUCAAAAUAAUGAAAAAAACAUGUAAGUUCUAUAAGUGCCUCAAUUACCAUUUUUACCCAAGACCGUUCACAAAAGGGACUUACAUAUUAACUUUUCCACCUUCACUGAAAAAACAAUUUUUUGAUGUACGUAAAGUUUACAUUUCAAGUUGAAAUCUCUAUUUGUAUACAUGUUAUUAACUAGUAUAAUUCAUAAGGUGUUAAAUCUUAAAAUGGCAACAUUAGAAAUAGGAAAUGUGGCAAAAAAGAAUCUAUGCGUAGAAAAGAAUGGUGUUCCAUUCCACUAAUUUAAAUUACACUAUAAAUUAAUGCGAGUAUGGAAAAACAGUAGUUCGGAGGUUGUUGAGUGUUUGUUUGAUUAUGGGUUUAUGAUUUUCUAUAUAACGAGAAAUAAACUCGAUGCCGGAGCUGUACUGAUCUGGCAGCGGCGAGUCAACAUGGUGGAGCUGGAUGAAUCGGAUUUGUUUGUUGGCGAUGCGUGAUUGGAUGUAGUCGUCGAGGAUUGGCCGUUGCGGCAUGGAGAUGGCGAGAAUUACGACGGAGAUAUGACUGGGAUGGUGGUUGAUGAUCGCUACCUCUGCUCGCCUCAUUUCUUGAACUUGGGGUUCUUCUCCGGCGAC